GACAGAGGUGCCAAGCGUUAGGCGGAAUCACUGGGCUUAAAGCGUGUGUAGGCGGAUCGUUAAGUACCUUGUGAAAUCCCACGGCUCAACCGUGGAACUGCUGGGUAUACUGGCGAUCUUGAGCCACCUAGGGGCGAGCGGAACAAGCGGUGGAGCGGUGAAAUGCGUAGAUAUCGCUUGGAACGCCAAUGGUGAAAACAGCUCGCUGGGGGUGUGCUGACGCUGAGACGCGAAAGCGUGGGGAGCAAACAGG
rnacentral:rRNA from 1 species